UAGCCCAUUCGCCUCGUCAAGCCCAGCCGAACCCAACCACUCCAUCUUCCUCCCCUCGCACCCAUCCCCCACCAUGCUUCUUCGCCGCAAGCUUCUCCCAUGGCCGCGCCCCAGACGCCCACAGGCCCAAGCUCUGUCCCGCCGCCUCUUGCGCGCCUCCUACCUCUCCGACCCCGACGACGACGACCCGCCGUUCACGCGAAUCCCAGACCACACGCCUCAAGCGCCGCCGCCGCCGAAGCCCAAAGCCCGGGCUGCCAAGAUCAUCCCCGACGAGCCGGCGCACUCCGACCUGCCCUUCGACUUCCGGUACUCCUACUCGGAGACUGACCCGGCCUGGAGGCCCAUCGGGUUCCGCGAGCCCACCCGGUUCUCGCCCUUCGGCCCCGGCCGCCUUGACAGGCCCUGGGACGGCGCCGCCGCCGCCGCCGCGCGCGUCUACGGGGAUAGCGAGGGCGGAGAUGGAGGUGGGACUAGCAGGGAGGAUUUGCUUGGGGAGGCGCUGUCGGAGGCGGAGGUGUCGGAGCUCGUGGAGAGGUACCGGCACAGUGACUGCUCCCGGCAGAUCAAUUUGGGGAAAGGAGGUGUAACUCAUAAUAUGCUUGAUGACAUCCACAACCACUGGAAACGUGCAGAAGCUGUUAGGAUCAAGUGUCUUGGAGUGGCAACUCUCGACAUGGACAAUAUAUGCUUCCAUCUUGAGGAUAAAACAGGUGGGAAAAUCAUACACCGUAGCAUAAAUAUCCUUAUCUUAUAUCGUGGUCGGAAUUAUGAUCCAAAACAACGUCCUGUCAUACCACUGAUGUUAUGGAAGCCAUUGGCUCCUAUUUAUCCUAAGCUCGUCCAAAGUGUUGCUGAAGGGAUGACUUUUGAGGAAACUAAAGAAUUGAGAAACAGAGGAUUAAAUUCACCUCCUCUUAUGAAAUUAACUAGGAAUGGUGUCUAUGUUAAUGUCGUUGACAGAGUGAGAGAGGCCUUUCAGACUGUCGAAGUGGUGAGACUAGAUUGUACUCAUGUUGGUACCAGUGAUUGCAAGAAAAUUGGUGUGAAGCUAAGGGAUUUGGUUCCAUGUGUUCCCAUAUUAUUUAAAGAUGAACAAAUUAUUCUCUGGAGAGGGAAGGUGGAUCAGGAGGAGUCUGUUUCAUCUGAGUGCAGUUCUCAACCACAGUAAUGCAAGUGCCUUUAGUCCAGAGAAGCUGCUAAUAGAAGCAGGCCUGCUGCUUGGAUGCCUUCCACCAUUUCCACGAGCACCGAAGAAUAUUUACCACCUACCAUCCGAUUAUGGAAAUGCUCAAGGAGUCACGGUCUGCAGCAAUUGAUCUAAUUGGUCAUAUAUUUCUUCCUGCUGUUUCAAGUAGUUUGCCGAAAGAGUAUGUGGAUUGGGCGACAGGAAAGUGAUGUUUUUUGUAGGUGAAGAACCAUGCAAUUCAGAGAUAUGCAGCAGCAUCUCCUUUGCUUGGAAUUGGAAGCGACUGCUGGUACAGUCAGCAGUUCUUCCAGCCUAUGGAGUCAUCGUCAGAUGCUCUCUGCGGUUGCAAUGAACCUUCCGUGGCGAAAACCCAGUCAAGUUGUGCGUCAAGAUGAUCAACUUGCCAAGAAAGAAGCCCCACGCAUCCACAUGGCCAAUGAACAAUUCAAGGAGGGCUAACAUGAAGCAAAAGGGCCCAAACGUGAAGCAAAAAGAAGUCAAGUGCGAGUGUGUGAUAAGAGAAAAGUACGAGAACCCUCCGAUAAUUUUCAGAACUUACCAUUUUGCCCUUCCACUCCUCGUGAUCUCAAGGACAUCCAUAGUUUUUUUUGCCACAAACCCGGCUAUAAAAGCGUAGAACUCACCCUAUCUUCACUUGAA